AUGGUAGUCAGGUCCGAGGCCGCGAGAAAUGGGCACGAGUUGGCUCCCUUGAACGACGACCGCCAAACCGGGCAGAACGUAACGAUCGUGACAGGAAAUCAGAAUGCCGCUAACAACCAGCAGGAGGCGAAGGAGGAGAACAGGGCAGCAUGGAGCGGCAAAAUGCAAUUCUUUCUCAGUAUUAUCGGAUACAGCGUGGGUCUGGGAAAUAUCUGGAGGUUUCCUUACCUGUGCCAACAGAACGGAGGUGGUGCCUUUCUUAUCCCUUUCUUCGUGAUGCUCAUAUUGGAGGGUGUGCCCCUCUUUUUGAUCGAGCUGGGCCUCGGACAACGUAUGCGACAGGGUGCUCUGGGCGUUUGGAAUACUAUACACCCUUGGUUGGGCGGCAUAGGAAUUGCGUCGUGUAUAGUCACUUUUUUCGUUGCGCUUUACUACAACGUCAUCAUUACCUGGUGCUUUUACUACCUCUUCAACUCGUUAAGGGCUGUUACUGUCAAUUUCGGCCAAUUACUGCCGUGGGCAAAGUGCCCAGAAGUGAAUGGGAAGCCGAUCGAGGAGUGCGUCAAAAGCUCGGAGACCGCGUAUUUCUGGUACAGGACUACCUUGGACGCGGCGCCAUCGAUCGAUGACGGCCAGGGUCUCAAAUGGUGGAUAGUACUUUGCCUCUUGCUCAGCUGGGUCGUCGUGUUCUUCAUCGUCAUGAAGGGGAUACAGUCGUCCGGCAAAGUGGUGUAUUUCACGUCCAUGUUUCCGUACGUUGUAUUGACCAUCUUCUUCAUCCGUGGCAUAACGUUGAGGGGCGCGAGCGCAGGACUGGCGCACAUGUACACUCCCAAGGUCGAGAAACUGUUGGAGCCUACGGUCUGGCUUGACGCGGCGACCCAGGUCUUCUAUAGCUUCGGGCUGGCGUUCGGCUCCCUGAUCGCGUUUGGCAGCUACAACACACCCGACAACAACUGCGUGAGAGACGUGAUCCUGGUGAGCGUGUGCAACGCGUUUACUGCCAUUUACGCGAGCGUUGUCAUUUUCGCCAUUUUGGGGUUCAAGGCAAUGUCAAACGUGGACAAGUGCGUCGUCAGCGCGAGGGAUAUUCUGCUGGACAAUGGGUUCUUAUCUCGCGACAAUUUGACUUCCUUCAAUUUCGAAAACUACAAAUUCUUUAUGAGCACCUUCAACUCCUCGGCCAUAAACGUCACGAUGAAGCCGUGCAGUCUUAGCGAAGAGUUGGACAAUGCCGCCGAGGGCACCGGACUGGCUUUUAUCGUGUUUACACAAGCCAUCGUUGAGUUACCGGGAGCGCCAUUCUGGUCUUGCAUCUUUUUCAUGAUGCUUCUCGCUCUUGGCUUAGGCUCUCAAAUCGGAAUACUCGAAGGCAUGCUGUGUGUGAUCUUCGACAUAGAUCUCUUCAAAAGAAUAAAGAAACAAUAUAUGACAGGGGUCGUCUGUACGAUAUGUUUCUUCGUGGGGCUCAUCUUCUGUACCGGCGCGGGCGAGUACUGGCUGAAGAUGUUCGAUAGCUUCGCCGGCACCAUCGGUCUCGUCAUGGUGGCCCUCAUGGAGAUGAUCUCUGUAAUUUUCGUGUACGGCCAUGAGAAAUUCACGAAGGAUAUAGAGGAGAUGACAGGACACAGGCCAGGAGUUUACUGGCAAGUCACAUGGCGAUUUCUCGCUCCCAUUAUAAUGGUGUGCAUUCUCGUGUCUAGUGUCGCCUCCAUGUUCAUCAAGAAACCGCAAUAUUCGGCGUGGAAUGCGUCGUUGGGCAUGGCAGUGCCCACGAGUUACCCCGGCUGGGUGUUGGGGAUCGCCGCAGUUAUCAUUUUCGCUGGCAUCGCUCCGAUCCCGAUAGUUUUUCUCCUACGACGAUUCCAGUGUGUGAAACUCGACGUCGAUAUUCAUCAAGGGAGUAUUCGACGUAUCGACACCACAGUAUCUACCAAAGAGAUGAUGGGCGACGUUGACUUGUAGGUAAGCAUCCAUUCUGUCUGUGGUAACGUCGAUUACUCGAUAUCCCCGUAGCUACGUUACACCUUGAUGAAUAUCACGAUCGACUUGAAGAUUUCCCAGAGGAGGAUGAAGAUGUUAAUAGCGACGACGAUAACAAUGCCGC
rnacentral:misc_RNA from 1 species